GCCGUGGAUACCACCAGCUAGGUUAUCUCUGGUGUGAGGCUGAACAGUGAGUGACUGAGAGGUGCUAGAAAAAGGGGAAAAUACUACCCAUAUUUGGGUACCAUCUUCAUAUCUGCUCCCUGGAAGGAUACUCAGUUCUCUUGGCCUCGGCGAUCUUUCCUGGCUCAUUCAAAAUCUCUCCCAUGAGACGUUUCCUGUGUUAGGAGUUAAAACACCCAUUGCAUAUCCAUAGGUCUCCUGGGCAGUAUUCAGCAGUUUUGGCCUCAAGUGCCUAACAGGAACUUGGCCUCAGGUUUUCUCAGUUGUGUUCUCUUGCUGAAGCCCAUCUGUGGCAUCAACCAGUCAUGGAUAAAGGAGCCUCUGAAGUCAGUCCUAGAAGGCCCACACCCAUCGUCAGAACGAUGGCAGAUGAAUACCUAAAACCCACUGUGGCCUCCAGAAACAGGCUGAUGUUUUUACUUGGUAGGCAACUAGGGAGGCACAAAAAUGAUGAGGCGCUGACAAAGUGGCUGUGGGGGCUGACACAAAACACACCAGGGUGGAGCUGGCCUUUGCCUAAGCACUAUGUGACUUACCCGCCUACAGCCCCUGAGGAUUAUGGAAAACACUCGAAAAUGGUGUGGAUCAACAAAACUUUCCCCUGUUGGGACCAUUAAAAUUGAAGCUGUGUUUUCACCUCU